rnacentral:misc_RNA from 1 species
AUUUAAUUGCCUUUCUUUCCUCCUUUUCCUUUUGAAACUUGGAUAUUUUGUAGGAAAUUUCUAUUAAUUUAAUGAUCCUGUGAGAAGCACUAGGCUUUGAAUUACAUCUCGGCUUUCAGCCAAAUGUUAGGGAAAAUGGAUGCUAUAUUCAAGUUUAAAAUUCUUGAAUGUGUCUUUUAUAGUGGUUGAGAGAUGGUACAACACUCAACCUACAAGAAAUUAUUAGUUACUUUAUACAUGAUUCAGUUGAUGGGUAUGAACAUGUACCUGAAAGAUCUUAUAUGGU